rnacentral:lncRNA from 1 species
CAUUAGACCGUUCAUGCAUCAUAUGUGUCUUGCAUCGUGUGGUUAAUAUCGUGUGAUGAUUUGUGUUUCCGGUUUGCUUCGUCUCGAUAGAGUUCCGCAAGCGAGUCGGAUUGUGAGGACCCGUUCGACUACGUCGGUUCGUCUGCUUCACGGAUUCAUUCUUCUUCCAAGCGGGAUCUCAGGCAAGAUGAUCAUUUCCCCAGAUACCAUUACUAUCAUUGCCAUGCUAGUUAUUUCGAUGCCAUCGCUUAUGUCUCGUUGCCUACCACAUGUUAAAUAUCAGCCUCUCAACAAUGCCAUGAAACCUUCAACCUACUCAACCUAGCAAACCACUGAUUGGCUAUGUUACCGCUUGCUUAAUCCUGUGUAGCGUUGUUAGUUGCAGGUGCAGUUGCUUCCAUGUGAUUACAUGGGUUCCUUGUUAUAUCACCAUAUUAAAUGCUAUUUAAUUUAAUGCACCUAUAUACUUGGUAAAAGGAGGAAGGCUCGGCCUUUCUAGCCUGGUGUUUUGUUCCACCUUUGCCCCCUUAGUUACCGGCUACCGGUGUUAUGUUCCAUAAAUGAGCGCUCCUAACACGAUCGGGGUUGUUAUGGGGACCCCCUUGAUAAUUCGUUUUAGAUUAAAGCUGGUCUGGCAAGGCCCAACAUUGGUACUACAUUUGCCUAAUCACCUAAUAAAAUUGCAUAGGGACUUCCCGGGCCCCGAGGAUAAUUUAAUCAACCCCCGGGCCAGUGCUCCUCAUGAGUGUUGGUCCAAAACAGAGCAGCUUAUUAACGCUACCCGGGGCAACUCGGUGUUUGGCGUGGUAACCAUAGCUCAUCCGUCGUGUCCUGAGAACGAGGUACACGACUCCUAUCGGGAUCGUCGACACGUCGGGCGGCCUUGCUGGAUUAGUUUUACCUUUGACGAGAUAUCUUGUGCAUCGGGAUUCCGGUGAUGCUUUGGGUAAUCUCAGAGUUGAGGUUUUCCACCAGGGAAUCCGACGAGAUCGCGAGCUUCGUGAUUGAGGAUUUCUAUGCGGCUUGUGGUAAUUUGUGAUGGACUAGUUGGAGCACCCCUGCAGGGUUAAAUCUUUCGGAAAGCCGUGCCCGCGGUUAUGUGGCAACGUGGAAGCUUUGUUUAACACUGGUUCUAGAUAACUUGAAGUUAACUUAAUUAAAAUAUGCCCACUGUGUGCGUAACCGUGACUGUCUCUUUCGUGAGUUCUUUCUCCGAUCGAGAACACGGUGGGGUUAUGUCUGACGUAGGUAGGUGUUCAGGAUCAUUCUUUUGAUCAUCAGUAGUUCACGUCCGUUAUGCGUAGAUCUUCCCCCUCUGAUUACUGGUACUCAUAAGUUAGCCACCAAAUAUAUGCUUAGUCGCUGCUGCAACCUCACCACUUAACCAUACCUCACCCAUUAAGCUUUGCUAGUCUUGAUACCUUUGGAAAUGAGAUUGUUGAGUCCCCUGUGGCUCACAGAUUACUACAACACCAGUUGCAGGUACAUGUAAAGGUUACUUGACGCGAGCGCGUUGAUUUUUCAUUUGGAGUUGCUUCUUCUUCUUCUUCUUAUUUGAUCUAGGAUGGGUUCCAGACCGGCAGCCUAAGAUAGCAAGGAUGGACGUCGUUCUUCUUUUGUCGUUUGUUUUUCAUCCGUAGACGGACCCUGCUCUUACUCUUGAUGAUUAUGUAAUGUACUGAUGUGACUCUGAUGUAGCUUGUGGCGAGUGUAAGCCAACCCUCUUUAUAUAUCUCUCCUUUUAAGUACAUGUACUUGUAACGAUAUCCAUUCUUGCGACACGACGAGAUGCGCUUCUAUCCCUGACGAGGCCCCCGUGCCAAAUGGAGGAUAGGGUCGCAUCUUGGGCGUGACAGCUACUCCACGAGAGAAAAUGACACUUGCCAUUUGAGAGCAACCCAUUCCUCGAAGAGUUUGAGAGAAAAUCAUCAUUGAGGAAAAAUCCCAAACACCAAACCAAAACCCAAAACCCAAAGUGAUUGAGCAUCACUGAAGAGAUUGUUCAUGUGAGGUACCGACGCUUGUUACCUUUGAAGACUAUGUAUCUUCCAGAGGUUAGGCGUCAUUGGUCUAGAGCAUCCAGCAGUAAAUUUUGGAUUGUCGGAUGACCGAGUUUGUGAGGGUUUGGAAGUCUGCCUUGAAGACUUACCACGAGUGUUGGGCGAGGACUGUGUGUCCUUAGCUCAAGGAGAAUACGGUAAGGACUUAGUGUUCUAGGACUGUGUGUCCUUUGGUUUAAAUACCAAGUCACUCCAAACCAGACAUACGACUGUCACACGAGUUCGAAUUGGGCCAUCAAAUCAUUGUCUUCACCGAGUACCUGGUUCUAUUUACUCAACCCUUUUAUUUCCUCAUUUAUGUGUUGAUGAAAUUGAUCGUUGCUGUUUGAAGAAUUUUCCUGAAGACUUUCACAAUUUCCUCAUCCCAAAUUCUUCACUUCACUUGUUAC